rnacentral:rRNA from 1 species
GCAGUCGAACGGUAGCACAGAGAGCUUGCUCUCGGGUGACGAGUGGCGUAUGGGUGAGUAAUGUCUGGGAAACUGCCUGAUGGAGGGGGAUAACUACUGGAAACGGUAGCUAAUACCGCAUAACGUCGCAAGACCAAAGAGGGGGACCUUCGGGCCUCUUGCCAUCAGAUGUGCCCAGAUGGGAUUAGCUAGUAGGUGGGGUAACGGCUCACCUAGGCGACGAUCCCUAGCUGGUCUGAGAGGAUGACCAGCCACACUGGAACUGAGACACGGUCCAGACUCCUACGGGAGGCAGCAGUGGGGAAUAUUGCACAAUGGGCGCAAGCCUGAUGCAGCC